UACGUAGGGUGCAAGCGUUGUCCGGAAUUAUUGGGCGUAAAGAGCUCGUAGGUGGCGGGUCACGUCGGGUGUGAAAGCCCGGGGCUUAACCCCGGGUCUGCAUUCGAUACGGGUCUGCUGGGGUCCGGCAGGGGAGACUGGAAUUCCUGGUGUAGCGGUGAAAUGCGCAGAUAUCAGGAGGAACACCAAUUGCGAAGGCAGCUCGCUGGGACGUUACUGACGCUGAGACGCGAAAGCGUGGGGAGCAAACAGG
rnacentral:rRNA from 1 species